UCAGAGCAUCCUCUAUAACCUAAAGCUGACUUCUUCAAGGGAAAACCCAAGGUUUCUCAACCUGCUGUCCCUCGGAAUGCUCUUCCUGGGUUGAAAGAUCAAACUGAUUGAUGGAGGCAUCAUUUGCAAUCCUCUGUGUGUCUGUCUGAGGAAGGCAAGCUCAAGCAGUGUGCCUUGCACUUGAAGUUAAUGGAGAUAUUCUUGUUCCAAGAUUCCAGUAUGG